CAAUAGCGUAUAUUAAAGUUGUUGCGGUUAAAAGCUCGUAGUUGGAUUUCUACCGAAGACAGCCGGUCCACACUACGUGUGCGCAUCUGGUGUGGCUUUGGUAUCCUCAUGGAGAACAGUUCUGCGCUUCAUUGCGUGGACUGGUAUUCAUGACUUUUACUUUGAGGAAAUUAGAGUGUUCACGGCAGGCGUUUGCCUUGAAUACAUUAGCAUGGAAUAAUAAUAUAGGACUUUGGUCCCUACUUUUGUUUGGUUUCUUAGAGCUGAAGUAAUGAUUAAUAGGGACACUUGGGGGCGAUUCGUAUUAUCACGUCAGAGGUGGAAUUCUUGGAUUGUGUUACGACGAACUACUGCGAAAGCAUUUGUCCAAGGAUGUUUUCUAUUGAUCAAG
rnacentral:rRNA from 1 species